UUUUAUUUGAAGUUUUAUUUACAGAAUCAUUACGGAUGCCAAAAAGGAACAUCUCGACAUGAAAUAAUUUAACUGUUAGAAUGUGAAGAUACAAAGAAAGAAAAUUGAUUUCAAAGCGUGAAUCUACUUGAAGAAAGAGAAUUAAAGCUCAUUUCUUUUCUUCAGUGCCUUUUCACAGUGAUAGAAAGCGAAAAAAUUUAGAUCAAGAAAAUGCGCAAGAACAUAUACUGCUGCGUGAUAAUGUGUGCGUUUUGGAAUAUCAAGUUUCAAAGGAAUUCAGUGUUUUAUGAGCCAUGCUUUGAAUCCUAAGAAGAAGAGGACUGCACCUUCACAACUAGUUAAUUAAAA